rnacentral:lncRNA from 1 species
CUGACGGCCUGUGAGGGACCAUGUGGGGCUGGGGGUGGAUAGGGGAGCUUGACUCUGCAGUCCCCAGGGCAGUCUGAGUCCCCAGUGCCUGGCGUGGGUGAGCUCAGGGCUGCUCCGUAUGGGGGCAUCCAGGCCUGGCUGCUGAUGCCCUGUGGCUGAGGACACCUCCAUCUGCAUGAGCCAGUUUGGAAGUCCAGCUUGCCCCCCAGGCAGUGGAGGCCAGAGUCAUUUUGGAUUUGGGCUGACCUGGUAGACUUCUGAAAGACAGUGCUCUGGGUUCAAGUUGUCCUCAGGGCUGGAUGAUCCAUAGCAAAUAUCCCCUGAUGGAUAAGCAUUGUGCUGAGAGACUUGCCUCCAUCAGCUGUGUAAACCUCAGGAUGACCUGCACACAGGUAUACUAAGGCACACAGAGACCAGCUCGUAGUCAGUGACAAGUAACUUGCCAAGAGCUGUGGUUUAAAAGCAUGUCUGCAAAUUCUUGGACACUCUUGUCAUCCAGAAAUAGAGUCUAACCCUCCUCCCUUGAAUACGGGCUGGCUUCAGUGGUGGAAAUGACAAUGUGUGAGUUUGAGGUUUGAUUAGAAAAGAUGACACAGCCUCUGCCUGACUCUCAAGGCCCUUGUUCUUGGACAUUAGCUGCCAUGCUGGGAGGAAGCCCAGCAGCCACACAGAGAGGCCACGACAGCCGAGGUCCCAGCCAAGCCAGCAUCAACUGCCCAACACGUCAAUGAGUGAUCCUGCAGAGCCUCCCAUCUCCUAGCCACCGCAGCUGAUGCUCUGAGAGCGGAGGCAAGCUGUCCUUGCUGGGCGCUGCUUAAACUGCAGAUGUAUGAACAAAAUAAAAAUGGUGGUUAUUUUAAGACACUACAUUUUGGGUCUCUAGGUGUUUGGGGGUGGUUUUUCUCUAGCAAUAGGUCCCCAGUCUUGUGCUUUUAGGGUCCUUGUCAAGAAGAAA